ACACUCCUACGGGAGGCAGCAGUGGGGAAUAUUGCACAAUGGGCGGAAGCCUGAUGCAGCAACGCCGCGUGCGGGAUGACGGCCUUCGGGUUGUAAACCGCUUUCGCCUGUGACGAAGCGUGAGUGACGGUAAUGGGUAAAGAAGCACCGGCUAACUACGUGCCAGCAGCCGCGGUGAUACGUAGGGUGCGAGCGUUGUCCGGAUUUAUUGGGCGUAAAGGGCUCGUAGGUGGUUGAUCGCGUCGGAAGUGUAAUCUUGGGGCUUAACCCUGAGCGUGCUUUCGAUACGGGUUGACUUGAGGAAGGUAGGGGAGAAUGGAAUUCCUGGUGGAGCGGUGGAAUGCGCAGAUAUCAGGAGGAACACCAGUGGCGAAGGCGGUUCUCUGGGCCUUUCCUGACGCUGAGGAGCGAAAGCGUGGGGAGCGAACAGGCUUAGAUACCCCAGUAGUCCCAUGA
rnacentral:rRNA from 1 species